rnacentral:rRNA from 1 species
CCUACGGGGGGCAGCAGUGGGGAAUAUUGGACAAUGGGGGGAACCCUGAUCCAGCCAUGCCGCGUGUGUGAAGAAGGCCCUCGGGUUGUAAAGCACUUUCAGUGAGGAAGAACGCCUGGUGGUUAAUACCCAUCAGGAAAGACAUCACUCACAGAAGAAGCACCGGCUAACUCCGUGCCAGCAGCCGCGGUAAUACGGAGGGUGCGAGCGUUAAUCGGAAUUACUGGGCGUAAAGCGCGCGUAGGUGGCUUGAUAAGCCGGUUGUGAAAGCCCCGGGCUCAACCUGGGAACGGCAUCCGGAACUGUCAAGCUAGAGUGCAGGAGAGGAAGGCAGAAUUCCCGGUGUAGCGGUGAAAUGCGUAGAGAUCGGGAGGAAUACCAGUGGCGAAGGCGGCCUUCUGGACUGACACUGACACUGAGGUGCGAAAGCGUGGGUAGCAAACAGGAUUAGAUACCCUUGUAGUC